rnacentral:rRNA from 1 species
UUAAGCGACUAAGCGUACACGGUGGAUGCCCUGGCAGUCAGAGGCGAUGAAGGACGUGCUAAUCUGCGAAAAGCGCCGGCGAGGUGAUAUGAACCUUUGACCCGGCGAUAUCCGAAUGGGGAAACCCAGUGCAAUCCGUUGCACUAUCGUUAACUGAAUACAUAGGUUAACGAGGCGAACCGGGGGAACUGAAACAUCUAAGUACCCCGAGGAAAAGAAAUCAACCGAGAUUCCCCCAGUAGCGGCGAGCGAACGGGGAGCAGCCCGGAGUCUGAAUCAGCUUGUGUGUUAGUGGAACGGUCUGGAAAGUCCGACGGUACAGGGUGAUAGUCCCGUACACGAAAGCACACAUGCUGUGAACUCGAAGAGUAGGGCGGGACACGUGGUAUCCUGUCUGAAUAUGGGGGGACCAUCCUCCAAGGCUAAAUACUCCUGACUGACCGAUAGUGAACCAGUACCGUGAGGGAAAGGCGAAAAGAACCCCGGCGAGGGGAGUGAAAAAGAACCUGAAACCGUGUACGUACAAGCAGUGGGAGCCUCUUUAUGGGGUGACUGCGUACCUUUUGUAUAAUGGGUCAGCGACUUAUAUUCUGUAGCAAGGUUAACCGUAUAGGGGAGCCGAAGGGAAACCGAGUCUUAACUGGGCGUUAAGUUGCAGGGUAUAGACCCGAAACCCGGUGAUCUAGCCAUGGGCAGGUUGAAGGUUGGGUAACACUAACUGGAGGACCGAACCGACUAAUGUUGAAAAAUUAGCGGAUGACCUGUGGCUGGGGGUGAAAGGCCAAUCAAACCGGGAGAUAGCUGGUUCUCCCCGAAAGCUAUUUAGGUAGCGCCUCGUGAAUUCAUCUUCGGGGGUAGAGCACUGUUUCGGCUAGGGGGCCAUCCCGGCUUACCAACCCGAUGCAAACUACGAAUACCGAAGAAUGUUAUCACGGGAGACACACGGCGGGUGCUAACGUCCGUCGUGAAGAGGGAAACAACCCAGACCGCCAGCUAAGGUCCCAAAGUCAUGGUUAAGUGGGAAACGAUGUGGGAAGGCACAGACAGCCAGGAUGUUGGCUUAGAAGCAGCCAUCAUUUAAAGAAAGCGUAAUAGCUCACUGGUCGAGUCGGCCUGCGCGGAAGAUGUAACGGGGCUAAACCAUGCACCGAAGCUGCGGCAGCGACACUUAUGUGUUGUUGGGUAGGGGAGCGUUCUGUAAGCCGUUGAAGGUGUGCUGUGAGGCAUGCUGGAGGUAUCAGAAGUGCGAAUGCUGACAUAAGUAACGAUAAAGCGGGUGAAAAGCCCGCUCGCCGGAAGACCAAGGGUUCCUGUCCAACGUUAAUCGGGGCAGGGUGAGUCGACCCCUAAGGCGAGGCCGAAAGGCGUAGUCGAUGGGAAACAGGUUAAUAUUCCUGUACUUGGUGUUACUGCGAAGGGGGGACGGAGAAGGCUAUGUCAGCCGGGCGACGGUUGUCCCGGUUUAAGCAUGUAGGCGGAGGUUCCAGGUAAAUCCGGUACCUUAUUAACGCUGAGGUGUGAUGACGAGGCACUACGGUGCUGAAGUGAUAAAUGCCCUGCUUCCAGGAAAAGCCUCUAAGCAUCAGGUAACACGAAAUCGUACCCCAAACCGACACAGGUGGUCAGGUAGAGAAUACCAAGGCGCUUGAGAGAACUCGGGUGAAGGAACUAGGCAAAAUGGUGCCGUAACUUCGGGAGAAGGCACGCUGAUGUGUAGGUGAAGCCCCUGCGGGUGGAGCUGAAAUCAGUCGAAGAUACCAGCUGGCUGCAACUGUUUAUUAAAAACACAGCACUGUGCAAACACGAAAGUGGACGUAUACGGUGUGACGCCUGCCCGGUGCCGGAAGGUUAAUUGAUGGGGUUAGCGGCAACGCGAAGCUCUUGAUCGAAGCCCCGGUAAACGGCGGCCGUAACUAUAACGGUCCUAAGGUAGCGAAAUUCCUUGUCGGGU